rnacentral:rRNA from 1 species
GAGUUUGAUCCUGGCUCAGGAUGAACGCUGGCGGCGUGCCUAAUACAUGCAAGUCGAGCGAACGGACGAGAAGCUUGCUUCUCUGAUGUUAGCGGCGGACGGGUGAGUAACACGUGGAUAACCUACCUAUAAGACUGGGAUAACUUCGGGAAACCGGAGCUAAUACCGGAUGAUAUUUUGAACCGCAUGGUUCAAAAGUGAAAGACGGUCUUGCUGUCACUUAUAGAUGGAUCCGCGCUGCAUUAGCUAGUUGGUAAGGUAACGGCUUACCAAGGCAACGAUGCAUAGCCGACCCGAGAGGGUGAUCGGCCACACUGGAACUGAGACACGGUCCAGACUCCUACGGGAGGCAGCAGUAGGGAAUCUUCCGGCAAUGGGCGAAAGCCUGACGGAGCAACGCCGCGUGAGUGAUGAAGGUCUUCGGAUCGUAAAACUCUGUUAUUAGGGAAGACAUAUGUGUAAGUAACUGUGCACAUCUUGACGUACCUAAUCAGAAGCCACGGCUAACUACGUCG